GCAGAGGAUGGACUUCACCAGAACUGUCAGUGCAGAAACAAAAGGUAAAACAUGUGUCUUCAUGGAGUAGAAGAGGACAGGGCACCGACUGUAGGACAAACUGUAAUCCUUGGAUUACCUAUGUCACUGGAGGACCAAAAUAAAACAGCUAUAAUUAGCCCAGGAUGCAACGACAUAAUUAGAGUUCGGAUACACACAGUGUUCAGAGCUGACUGACACAGAAAUGGAUAACAACAAUAUCCCACUUUGAGAUACCUGAACACGACAUGACAAUGGAGAUUCCUUUUCUUAUAGUUUAAACAGCAGCACUGUGUAUCGUGCGGCUGUCAUCUAACCCGAGAGUUACGAUAGAUUAAUCAAAGUUGAGCACAUGCUGAACAAGCUGGAUUCAUUUACAACGUUGGGUCUUUGUUAAACUCUUAACUUUGUCAACAGAGACACCUGGUCGCUAGCUGGUUAGCGGUGUGUACGUAACGUUAUGAUAACGGGUUGCGUCACAUUUAUCCGACGCUAACUUUUAACUAGGUUAUUUAACACGUCUGUUAAUGGCUUCAAUUUGACUGAUCUAUUUCAGUGUCUACCUAUAUGUAGCUACCUAUCAGUGUUAAUAAAUGCAAAACAGGAACCUCACGUUGCUAAUGUUAUUUACAAAAGCUGAUAGCUAACAGACACGAGCUAAUGCUACUUAGCAAGCAAGCGAAUGCUAGUUAGCAAACACGCUAUCGCUAAUUAGCUAACGGGUUCCAUGAUUCCGCUUAACAAUCGUCAGUUUAAUCAAAUGUUGAAUCAGUUACUGCACGUGACCACAGUUAGUUGUUAGUUCACACAGUACCGUGUUAGUAGGAGCGGCUAACGCUAACAAGUAGGGCAAUCAGGCUUCAACAUUAGCUACCUUCCUCUGCGGUGUCCAUCUUGACUGGGUGCUAAAGCAGCCCUGCUCCACUGCUCAGGCUAGUCAGCCACUGCGAUAACUACAUGUAGAACUCGUGUUUAUACCGCGGAGGCCAGUGUCCAGGUGUCUGUGACCGUCAGUGUACAAUGUGUUUUAAUAGCAACACUCGCACACAUCGUCAGCGGGCAGUCUGCACUU